UGGGGAAUAUUGCACAAUGGGCGAAAGCCUGAUGCAGCGACGCCGCGUGCGGGAUGAAGGCCUUCGGGUUGUAAACCGCUUUUGGUUGGGAGCAAGCGAGAGUGAGUGUACCUUUCGAAUAAGCACCGGCUAACUACGUGCCAGCAGCCGCGGUAAUACGUAGGGUGCAAGCGUUAUCCGGAAUUAUUGGGCGUAAAGAGCUCGUAGGCGGUUUGUCGCGUCUGGUGUGAAAGUCCAUCGCUUAACGGUGGAUCUGCGCCGGGUACGGGCAGGCUAGAGUGCGACAGGGGAGACUGGAAUUCCCGGUGUAACGGUGGAAUGUGUAGAUAUCGGGAAGAACACCAAUGGCGAAGGCAGGUCUCUGGGUCGUCACUGACGCUGAGGAGCGAAAAGCGUGGGGAGCGAACAGGAUUAGAUACCCUGGUAGUCCACGCCGUAAACGGUGGAUGCUGGAUGUGGGGCCCAU
rnacentral:rRNA from 1 species